rnacentral:rRNA from 1 species
UACAGAGGGCUCAAGCGUUGUUCGGAAUUACUGGGCGUAAAGGGUGCGCAGGCCGCGCGGGCAGUCAAAUGUGUAAUCCAGGGGCUCAACCCCUGAACUGCGCUUGAUACUUCCGCGCUCGAGCUUUGGAGAGGAGUCUGGAAUUCUCGGUGUAGCAGUGAAAUGCGUGGAUAUCGAGAAGAACACUUAGGGCGUAGGCAAGACUCUGGACAAAUGCUGACGCUCAUGCACGAAGGCUAGGGUAGCGAACGGG